GCAAAUGCUGUGACGAAGAGGAGUAGCAUGUGGAGUCGGACAGAGAGAAUGGUUCCUGGGCUGUGAGACCGUUCCCGACAGAGAUGUGCGAAGGUAGCUUCUGAGCUGCGUGGCUGAAAGUAUAGUAGGUCAUGCCGGGGCGUUCCCGUUAUAGGAUAAGAUGAGAUACAAAACAAGGUGGUAACGCGAUAUAUACUCGCCCUUCAG
rnacentral:ncRNA from 1 species